rnacentral:misc_RNA from 1 species
AGGCUUAGUUGUUGUUUUUGUUGUUGUAAGAUCAAUGGAGAGGCAAGUAAAAAAUAUAAAAUCCCCACCAAAAAAAAAAUAUAACUAGGGAAGUAUCAUCAACUUUACAUCAUAUCACCCAAAUGAAGAUAAAGAUAAAGAAUAUAAUACUUUAAAAAUAUAUUUCAAAGGAUUCAUUAUUGCAGGACUACCAAUGAAAAACUUUUAAGAUAAUUUGUUGUCCUUACUUUGCCUUUUCGUUUCUCUUUGCUUGAUUCUACAUCACUCGAAUGGGUAACAUAGAUUACUACCUUUGCAAAUUUGCAUUUGCAACAACACGGGCCCAUGGUUCUAAUAAAAAUACCAAGGAUCUGCCCACUGCACUACAAAUGUGAGAUGUGUACUGCUGCAAAAUCCCCCCUUCCCCCAACCAAAACAAUUUAAGGCUUAGCAAUUAGCAUCAUCAUUAAGGGGCAAAACAGACACAACCACAGAUUGGUCCAUUGUAAAUUCAAAAUACAUAGCAUGCCUGCGGCCCUGGGUACAUCAAAUACCAUCACAAUAAAAUGGGCCCACCCACUGAAAGUGCUAGCCAGGGUACUCUUGGGGUCACUGGCUUUAGUAAAGAUGCAAAGAAUUUGCUCAUUACAAUAUCAAUGUGGGAUGUGGAAGAUAGGCAGCAAAAGGACUCACAUGGGCAGAAGAAUAUCAGAGUAUACUCUAGAAGGUUCAAGAGAGGCACUAAUGGCAAGGAGGUGGUUAUAGCAUGAAAUUUGAUAGAGAUGUUUUUGUUUCAGCAGGCCCAGGUGCUAUUACUCUUACAAGCCCAAGGCCAUUCAAAGUUUAUAUUAGAAGAAGGAAGGAAGGAAGAGACAAGGAGAGUACUACACAGCUGGAAAUGGACGUUGGAGAGAAAUA